rnacentral:rRNA from 1 species
CCCGAAAGAUCGAAUGAGGAGACUCAUCGCAAGCGGUAUUGGCUUCCUUGUGGUUCGCGAUGAGUUGGGUUUAACUUUAAUUCACGCGGCCGCUUGGUAUGUCCGGUAACGUCGGCGUGCAUUUCUUCUCUAGUAGAACGUCGCGACCCGUUGGGUGUCGGUUUAAGGCCCGAUUCGUAGUCUGUUCCGUCGCUUCGGCGCACGUGUACAAACGUUUGGUGUCCCGAUCGACUGCCCGACGGUAAAAAAGAUGGUAUCGAGCCGCACUCGAAUGCGUUCAGACUCGUCGCAAGUCGGAUCACUGUUUCUCGGAGCACGGACCCAGUGCCGUUCCUGAGGGUGGUUGGCUGUUGGCGGACGAAGUUCUCGAACCGGCUUAGAACAUUGUCUCUUGAACGAUACCAGUCGGCGGCGCUAUUGCUUUGGGUACUUUCAGGACCCGUCUUGAAACACGGACCAAGGAGUCUAACAUGUGCGCGAGUCAUUGGGAUUUUAAAACCUAAAGGCGUAUUGAAAGAAAAGAUCGGCCUUGCGUCGAUUGAGGGAGGAUGGGCUGUGUUGAGGUGUUGC